rnacentral:rRNA from 1 species
AACCUUUACAAUGCACGAAAGUGUGAUAAGGGAAUCCCGAGUGCCUUACUUUUAGUAAGGCUUUUGCCAAAAGUAAAAAUUUUGGCGAAUAAAUGGUGGGUAAGACUUGUGCCAGCCGCCGCGGUAACACCAGCGCCAUGAGUGGCAACCGCUUUUAUUGGGCCUAAAGCGUCCGUAGCCGGUUCAGUAAAUUUCCUGUGAAAUCGUUGAGCUUAACUUAACGUCGUGCAGGAAACACUACUGGACUAGGGACCGGGAGGCGUCAGAGGUAUUCUUGAGGGAGCGGUAAAAUGCUAUAAUCUCAGGAGGACCACCAGUGGCGAAGGCGUCUGACGAGAACGGAUCCGACGGUCAGGGACGAAAGCUAGGGGAGCAAACCGG